rnacentral:rRNA from 1 species
GACGAACGCUGGCGGCGUGCUUAACACAUGCAAGUCGAACGGAAAGGCCCUGCUUUUGUGGGGUGCUCGAGUGGCGAACGGGUGAGUAACACGUGAGUAACCUGCCCUUGACUUUGGGAUGACUUCAGGAAACUGGGGCUAAUACCGGAUAGGAGCCCCUGCUGCAUGGUGGGGGUUGGAAAGUUUCGGCGGUUGGGGAUGGACUCGCGGCUUAUCAGCUUGUUGGUGGGGGAGUGGCUUACCAAGGCAUUGACGGGUAGCCGGCCUGAGAGGGUGGCCGGCCACAUUGGGACUGAGAUACGGCCCAGACUCGUACGGGAGGCAGCAGUGGGGAAUAUUGCACAAUGGGCGGAAGCCUGAUGCAGCAACGCCGCGUGCGGGAUGACGGCCUUCGGGUUGUAAACCGCUUUCGCCUGUGACGAAGCGUGAGUGACGGUAAUGGGUAAAGAAGCACCGGCUAACUACGUG